rnacentral:tRNA from 1 species
GCCUGGCUGGCUCAGUUUGUAGGGCACAGGACUCUUGAUUUUUGGGUUGUAAGUUCAAGCCUUGUGUUGGGUG